AAGCUGUGGCAUAUCAGUGACAGCUUUGUAAUGUGACAGCAGCUGGGGACAGUAGGGUGAAGUGUCUCUUCUUCAAAAUACACCCCUGAGCCACUCUACUCAGCCCACUGGAGUGUCUUAAAUGGAGCCCUGUAAAGAGGGUGUGGCGAAGUCAGCUGGACAAAAGAUCCUACCAUCACCUCUUGAGAUGAGUCACAUGACUGAAAUAUUUUUCAACUGGGGAUGUAUUGUACUCAAAAUGGAGAGACACCAAAGUUCCUUCAAAUGGCACUGUGUGUCUGGGUUCCUUUGUUCCUUCACUCAAGCCUGAUUCCCACGUCUCCAUGAGCAUGGCAGGAGGCUGGCUGUAGCAGCUUCUCAACCAAUGGCAGGAUGGAGCAAGCUACAUGGUUAUAGGUAGCAAUGGAGGCUAAUCCCACUUUGGGCUUUUUGCCCAUGCAAUAAUAAAUGAGUGUGUGUGGUUUUUGCUCCCUCUGUUAAGUGGAUGUUAAUUUUUCAGGCCAAAGUAAUUUGAGCUGCAGUUUAUCAGUUUUCUAACCUUGCUUUAUCUAUAAUGAUUUCUCUAGACUUUCAACUUAGUAUAAACAAGGAAAACAUUUCGGGUCAAAUUUUUUUUAUAUAUAAACAUGUUAAGAGUGAGCUAAGUAACUGUUUUUAUAUCUAAAAUACUGAAUGAUAUUUAUGAAUCAAUUUUCUUAAAGUUUUCAUUUUUGGUAACGUCGGCUGAAACAGUGGCUGCUUACACAGGCACAGUGAAGUGCAGCCUGCAGGAGACACUUGAUGACCUAAGCAGAACAACCCACCUACCAGAAAUAUCCAGGUUGGCCACAGUAGGAGAGGAGCCCUCUAGUUCAGUGAUACCAGCGCUCUCACUGGAAGAAAUGAGGAGGGCCUUUCUCCAUGAAAAUGAGCGUGACAGAAAACUGCAGGUGCCGGAGCCCCAGAGGCCGUUCUGUAAGAAGCAGAAAAAGACAUCACUUGAGACUGAACUUGCAUGAAAAAUGAGGCUGUAUAAGGAAAAUAAAUUCCAACUUUGGAAUUCUCCAGUUUCCCCUAUCUUAGCCUUCAUACUGAUCCUUUAGCAAGAUAGGUGGUUACCAGUGGUUUCACAUUCAGCACUGUCUACAAGAGGUUUUGCCUCUAGAAGUUACAAGGACCAGGGAAUACAUAGGAAGAAACCACGAAGAUAUCUUGGACACAAAUAGAAUUUCAAGUAGGGUGUGUAUGGAUGUCACAUUUGAUAAAAAGGACAAAGUCUUAUUUUACAUAUGUUUUCUAUACUUAGAUUUUGUGCUAAAUUUCAUUGCAAAGCAAAUUGAUUUGUUUGAAAAUAAUCACGAAAUUGAGUGGC
rnacentral:lncRNA from 1 species